rnacentral:rRNA from 1 species
AUUGAACGCUGGCGGCAGGCCUAACACAUGCAAGUCGAGCGAGCGGCGGACGGGUGAGUAAUGUAUGGGGACUGCCCGAUAGCGGGGGAUAACUACUGGAAACGGUGGCUAAUACCGCAUACUAUCGGAUAACCCAGAUGGGAUUAGCUAGUAGGUGGGGUAAAGGCUCACACAGGCGACGAUCUCCAGCUGGGCCGAGAGGAUGACCAGCCACACUGGGACUGAGACACGGCCCAGACCCCUACGGAGGCAGCAGUGGGGAAUAUUGCACAAGGGGCGCAAGCCUGGUGCAGCCAUGCCGCGUGUAUGAAGAAGGCCUUAGGGUUGUAAAGUACUUUCAGCGGGGAGGCGUUACCCGCAGAAGAAGCACCGGCUAACUCCGUGCCAGCAGCCGCGGUAAUUC